rnacentral:rRNA from 1 species
UACGAGGGGGGCGAGCGUUGUUCGGAAUUAUUGGGCGUAAAGGGCGCGUAGGCGGUGCGGUAAGUCACCUGUGAAACCUCUAGGCUUAACCUAGAGCCUGCAGGCGAAACUGCCGUGCUGGAGUGUGGGAGAGGUGCGUGGAAUUCCCGGUGUAGCGGUGAAAUGCGUAGAUAUCUGCAGGAACACCCGUGGCGAAAGCGGCGCGCUGGACCACUACUGACGCUGAGGAACGAAAGCUAGGGGAGCAAACAGG